rnacentral:rRNA from 1 species
AAAUUGAAGAGUUUGAUCAUGGCUCAGAUUGAACGCUGGCGGCAGGCCUAACACAUGCAAGUCGAGCGGCAGCGGGAAGUAGUUUACUACUUUGCCGGCGAGCGGCGGACGGGUGAGUAAUGUCUGGGAAACUGCCUGAUGGAGGGGGAUAACUACUGGAAACGGUAGCUAAUACCGCAUGACCUCGCAAGAGCAAAGUGGGGGACCUUCGGGCCUCACGCCAUCGGAUGUGCCCAGAUGGGAUUAGCUAGUAGGUGGGGUAAUGGCUCACCUAGGCGACGAUCCCUAGCUGGUCUGAGAGGAUGACCAGCCACACUGGAACUGAGACACGGUCCAGACUCCUACGGGAGGCAGCAGUGGGGAAUAUUGCACAAUGGGCGCAAGCCUGAUGCAGCCAUGCCGCGUGUGUGAAGAAGGCCUUCGGGUUGUAAAGCACUUUCAGCGAGGAGGAAGGCC